GGGCAUUUAGUUUAGGGGUAUAACAUUCGCUUCGCACGCCGGAAAUGCGAAAGGUCGUGGGUUCAAUUCCCACAAUGUCCA